rnacentral:misc_RNA from 1 species
UUGAAUAAAUUUGAACAGGUUGUUGCUGGCCCCUUCUUGUGGGUAUGUGCACACUUGUCAUCUUUACCUUCUCCAACUGUGCACAUAUUUGUAGGCUCUGGAAGUUUUAUUUGAGAUUCAAAUAGAUUUAGGAUAUAGUUUCAACUUUUCCUUGUACUUCCAGGUCUAUGUUACUUUAUAAACCAUGAGAUGUGUUAUAGAAUGAUUAAAAAGUUGAAAUAUAUA